GGUGGCAUUCCUUUGAAUCAUACUGAUGAGAAUUUGACUCCACAAGAAAUCGAGCAGAAGUAGCUGGAGAAGUAUUAAAAAAAACCCUGUGGUUUAGCACUUUUUCACUUGAGAGAUUAACUUGUAAUUGUAAAAGAAAAAGAAAAAAAACAACAUCAAUGUGAUGUCAUUCAACCAUCCACAGGUGCCACAUGCAUGGUAGUCAAACUUAAUUUCUGUAUAUGUUGUGCUUAUGCCAUGUACGUAUUGUUUUAAUGAUAUUAGCCAAAAAUAGUACUAAAAUAAUAAAAUAUGAAAAUUACAUGUAUUGAAAUAAUUAAAAAAAGUCUCUAUAGUGAAAAGUAGUGGUGUUUGGUUCUGGUUCCAUUAUGGUUCUAGCCAAGAACCAGAACCAAAACUGGAGCCAAACCUUCAAUUCUUCUAAUUUUAGGAAUCAGACUUGAAGCUAAACUUUGGUUCCAGUUUGGUUCUAAGCAGUUUGAAUAUGGUUUCUGUUCUUUUUUUAUUCAAUUGUGG
rnacentral:misc_RNA from 1 species